CGAUUUUACGUAGGUGGCUGCAUGGUUGUCGUCAGCUCGUGCCGUGAGGUGUCGGUUAAGGUCCCAUAACGAGCGCAACCCCUACCUUAGUUGCCAUCAGGUUAAGCUGGGGACUCUAAAGGAACUGCCUACGCAAGUAGUGAGGAAGGCGGGGAGUGACGUCAAAUCAGCACGGCCCUUACGUCCAGGGCUACACACGUGCUACAAUGGCCGAUACAGAGGGCAGCUACCUGGUGACAGGAUGCAAAUCUCCAAAGUCGGUCUCAGUUCGGAUCGGAGUCUGCAACCCGACUCCGUGAAGUUGGAUUCGCUAGUAAUCGCGCAUCAGCCAUGGCGCGGUGAAUACGUUCCCGGGCCUU
rnacentral:rRNA from 1 species